rnacentral:rRNA from 1 species
GACGAACGCUGGCGGCGUGCUUAACACAUGCAAGUCGAACGGAAAGGCCCUGCUUUUGUGGGGUGCUCGAGUGGCGAACGGGUGAGUAACACGUGAGUAACCUGCCCUUUACUUUGGGAUAACUUCAGGAAACUUGGGCUAAUACCGGAUAGGAUCUCCUGCUGCAUGGUGGGGGUUGGAUAGUUUCGGCGGUUGGUGAUGUACUCGCGGCUUAUCAGCUUGUUGGUGGGGUAGUGGCUUACCAAGGCUUUGACGGGUAGCCGUCCUGGGAGGGUGACCGGCCAAAUUGGGACUGAGAUACGGAACAGAAUACAACGGGAGGGAACAGAGGGGAAGAUUGCAGAAUGGGAGGAAGGAUGAUGAAGAAAAGCAGCGAGCGGGAAGAAGGCCAGGGGGUAGUAAAGAGAAUUAGACUGAGACGAAGCGUGAGUGACGGUAAUGGGUAAAGAAGCACCGGCUAACUACGUG